CAUGUACUCCCUCCAUCCAAAAAAGUUUGUUCCUCAAAUAGAUGUAUCUAGCAUCAAAUUAGUGCUAGAUACAUCCAUUUGAAAGACAAGCUUGGGACAAGUUUUCUCGGACAGAGGGAGUACGAA
rfam:Triticum aestivum genome assembly, contig: Triticum_aestivum_CS42_TGACv1_scaffold_159053_2DL